GUUCAGAUUGCAGGCUGCAACUCGCCUGCAUGAAGUCGGAAUUGCUAGUAAUCGUAGGUCAGCAUACUACGGUGAAUACGUUCCCGGGCCUUGUACACACCGCCCGUCAAACCAUGAGAGUUGGCAACACCCGAAGUCGGUAGUCUAACCGCAAGGAGGACGCCGCCGAAGGUGGGGUUGAUGAUUAGGGUUAAGUCGUAACAAGGUAAC
rnacentral:rRNA from 1 species